GGGUUGUUAGCUUAAUAGGUAAAGCCCCUAAGCGUCACUUAGGAUUAUAUCGGUUCGAAUCCGAUAGGACCCG
rfam:Rhizoctonia solani AG-1 IA unplaced genomic scaffold scaffold47, whole genome shotgun sequence.